rnacentral:lncRNA from 1 species
GCCCCUUCCUCUUGGGAAAUGUGCUGAUCUCCACACCAGGAUCUAAUCAACUGUUUGCAUGCUAAUCUCCAGCCCAGACUCAACCUAUGAGGAUGUCAGUCUGCUGCUAAGGGCUGCUAAGAUUAGUGGACUGGUCAGAGUUGGUAUACCCGGGUGAUGAUCUCUAGGGACAGUGGUAGGAACUGAGACUAAAGGCAGGAAGGUGAUGUCAGCAGAGCAACCAAGAGAGUCACAGGGAGAACUGGGAUCAACAGAGGUCAUUAGAGUGCCGCACAGCCCUGGCCACCAAGCAUCAGCCUGCCAUGGCCAUCUGAGAUGCUUUUAGCUGUAGUGGGGAGGUGGUGGUGGGAGUGGGUCACCCUUCAGAUAUCACACUGUUGGGGGCUCGCACCAGCAUGGAUGUUGUGAUGCAUGUUGGCCUCGGUCAUGGCCAUACAUUAGACUCACUUAAAAAUACUGAUUCCAGGACCAUGCCUUGAGAGAUACUGAUGUAAUUGAUCUGUGGUAAGGCCUAGGUCUUGGUAUGUUUUAAAUGUUCACUGGGGAUUUCUAACAUGCAACUAGAAUUGAGAACUACCGGUAUGGUGAAAACAUGAUGAGUGCUGGAAUCAGAGUUGGGUUUGAAUCUGGUCCUAUCAGUGACUGGGGAACUACAGGCUGUGAUUAAUUAUUCUGAGCUUCCAUUUCCUCAUCUGUAAAAAUCAUGUAAAUAAUGUGUAUUUCAUAGAAAUGUCAUAAGGGUGACAUGCUACUAGUAAUAACACUGAUGGUGAUAACAGCUUUCAGUCCAUGGAGCUUUUUGUGAUCAACAUUAUUACUAUUUGUGUUCAGACUUAGCUUUUUGUCCUUCCUUCUCCAGGGUGUAGCACCCUAUGGUAGACUUGCCUUCCUUAGCCCCUACUCUACUGUGAGGGAGUCCUCUCUCCUUGCCCUGGUUUCAGCUACUCAGGGUUCAGCAAAUUGGCUGCUGCAGCUCAGUGGAAAACCAGUGACUCUCUUGGGGUUGACCAGAUGACCAAACAUUGGCACCCAUGAUCACACUCUUGUUCAUAUCCAGAACAACUCAUGCAGCAGCUCAGCCCUUCAGGAUGACACUGGUCAGUGUGUGGCUGCUAUGUGGAAAACCAGGCAGGGCAGGGGCUGCUCAUUCACAGGGGCAGCAAGAAGGUUCAGGAUGCUUAGAGGACUUCCUCAGAAAUGUACCAGUUGCUGUGUGGCUUUGGACAAGUCCUUUUUCCUCUCUGUGCCUCAGUUUCUUGCUCUGUAAAACACAGAUGGCUGAUCUGGACAAACAACAAUUCUAUUCAGUUUGAUGCUGCUGGUUCUGCCACUCCCCUUCUACCCCAGGAGAUGCCUUGGGGGGCUGGCAUCAUCUCUGCCUUCUUCCACAGAGACUCUGAUGCUACAGGGUGGGGCUCUGAGAAAUGCCACUUCAGAGCAGGGCCCUGAGAGUCUGUUCUGGUCACUGCCCACACUGGCUUUCCUCACUCCUGCCCCCAAGGGUUAUACGUUUCCCCAUUUCUCCUCCUGCCACCUAGAACUUUAAAUAGCCUCCAGCACACUAUGUGGCUGCCAGAAGUUGUAAUUAAAUAAUGUCCAGCUGUCAGAAAAGCUGUUAUAAAUGGUCCUUUUGUCUGCACCACUGUCUGGGAAACCAGGAAGGAGAGAAACUAGGGGGUUAUAAAUAUGAAGGGCAGAAGUUCAGUGGGGAGUCCGGGGAAAGCAGCUUUUAGGGACCCUGAAAACACUGGAGGAAUUAAAAGAAAAAGUGUAAUUAGUCUAUGGCAGAGGCCCCAGCUCUGGCUCUGUGACUGGAUUUGCACAUUGGGUAGCCUGAAAAUAAUUUGGGAAGCUAAUGUCUUUAUCUGGAGCUGCAAUUAACAUCUCCUUUUAAAAUCCAGACAGGAAAGCAAAAAGGGCACAAUGAGUGCUGGCAAUCCAGAGAAAGUUCUCGGAUCAACUUUCAUUAUUUUUCACCUCCUUUUCUUCCUUCCUUUAGUCCUUCCUUCCUCUCUUUCAACAAACACACUUGAAUCCCUGCCCUUACUAGCCCUUCUACCUCUAGAGUUCCUGCACUUCACCUUCUACCCCCACAGCCACCUUUGUUGGUGCCAUACCUGACCCUGUCUCCUAGGGGCGGGCCAGGAUCUCAGUCCUCUCUCCAUCAAAAUAUGCCCAACCUGGGAGCCACUUGCACCUUCUUUUUGUGCUGCAGAAUCUGUCAGUGGAUCUCUUGGAGUGCCCAGAGAUUUUUCACUAAAUGAGGAAUAGGGAGAGGAAAUGCACAUUUAUUAACCAUGUAUUAAGUAUUAAAUAAUUUACACACAUUAUUCCACUUAAAUUUCCCAACACUCCUAGGAGAAAAUUAUUAUGAAGCCCAGUAUUGUAAAUGAGGAAACUGAGGCUCUUUGAGAUGAAACAACUUUUCCAAGUUACACAGCCAGUAAUUAAAGGACUGGAGAUUAGAAAACUCAGUCUCUAAACUCCAUGAGGGCAGAGGCUGUGUCUGUUUUGUGCAUUGUCUUGCUAGGGCACUGCAUGGUGCCUGGCACAUAGAGACCUUGAGAAAUAUUCAGAGAAGAAAGAAAGGAAACAGAAGAAGGAGAAAAAUGGAAAACAACUCAGCUCUGUCAGAUGCCAAAGCCAGUGAUCUUUCUAUCGUGGCAUAUAGUCUCUGUAGAGUACAGACAGGCAGUUAUGAAUUAGAGAGAUGUACAUAAUAGUUGGGGGAAAGUGAUUGUUAAAAUGUGUGCAAAAAUAACAUGAUUAGAAAGCAGAAGAUUGGUUUCAAGGAUCAUUGGGGAGGUGGAGUGAGAGUGCCGUGGGGGUUCAGAGGAUGGAGGGAUUGAUUGCAGCUACAGGAAUGGGCAGACUUCAUGAGGGAGGCAGAGUUUGAGCCUCGAAGGAUGAGUAGGAUUUGGACACAGAGAGAUGGUGGUCAGGGAAGGUUGAGAAAACAGAAGGGAUGGGGAGAAACAUAAAUUAUCUGUCUGGAAGGGGAUAGACCAGUAGUUAGGCAUUUGAGUCUCCAUGGUGUCCUUGCGUGGCUAUUAGGGAUGAAUCUGGCUGUGAAGUCCUCCAUCUGGGCAUUCUGAGACAUUCACUGACAGAUUCUACAACACAGAAAAUGUGUGGGUGACUCCCAGGAUGUGCAUAUUUUGCUAGGGAGAGGACUUAGAUCCUGGCCUGCCCCUAGGAGACCCGGUCAGGCGCAGCGCCAACAAAAAUGGCUGUAGGGGUGGAAGGUGAAGCGCAGGGACUCUGGAGAGAGAGGGGCUAGUAAGGGCAAGGGCUUUGACUUCACUUCUGCUCCUCCUGUGUUCCUCAGCAUUCUUCAACCUGCCACUCAGCCAACCAGGGCACCUGACUAGUGCCCAGGGACAAUGAAGGGUUGUUGAGGCUGUUGUUGAACUAUUUGUUUUUGUUGUUGUUGUUUUUGUUGUUUUGCUGUGCUGGACAUGCUCUGAGAGCAGCAGGAACACAGAUCAUGGAAGAAAUAGCCCAAUGGUUUGGGGGAUUAUUAAAUAAUCAUAGCCAGGGCACUUUACCUUUAUGGACAGGCUGCCUGGCAGCAUCCUCAAAGGCCAGAUGGGAACUCAUACGACCAUUUUAAGAGACGUGAAUGCUCAUAAUGAGAAGGUCUGCAGUAGAAUGAUUCAAGGUUACUCUAUAAGAGCCCUCUGUACCAAAACGCAGGAGCCCAGUCAUCCCUUUCUGGGGCUGAGGCAAACUCUUGACCACCACAAAACUUUGGCUGUUUCGUUGGUGGGGAGACCUUAAAGCCAGCUUUAGAGCAGGUGUUAUAGACACUUCUCCACAUGAGGGAUUCCAGGACAGGAUGGAUACCAGGCAUGAGUGGGGAUUCUGAAUGUAAUAUAUUUGCCAUCAGGGCUAGGCAGGUGUCCUGCUACCUGGACAGGCAGCCUUGAGCACAUCUCUAAAUUCUUCUGGGCCCUGGUUUUCUAUUCACAAACAUUGAUUCAAGAAGUUCCUUGUGAGGACCUGCUGUAUGCCAGGUAGGCUCUGGGGGCAGGCAGCAAACAAAAGUCCAUGAUCUCUGUCCUCAUGGAGCUUCUAGUCUAGUGGAAAUAAGCAAGUAAUCACACAAAUGCACACAUUAUUGCAGUUUGCAAUAAAUGAUAUGAUGGGAAAAAACAAGGUGCUAUGGGAGAAACUUUUAGGGAGGGGAAUAAGGGAAGACCUCUUUGAGGAAGCGACUUAUAGCUGAUACCUGAAGGGUAAGUUAUCUGAGUCAUAUUCAGAGGAAGAGCUCUUUCAAAGGCCCUGUGGAUGGGAAAAGAUUUGUAUACUUGAGGAGCUGCAGUUAAGCCUGCAUGGCCAGAAACAGUGAUCAAGGUGCAAAAUGGAGUGGCAUGAGGCUGGGGUGGAGGACAAGAGAAGGGCCAGUGAUGCAUCAGCCCAUCGAUCAGAAGGAUUCGGGACUUACCCCCGUGAUUGUUGGGAGACCAUCGCUCAAUUUUAAACAGGAGUGUAAUGAUUGGAUUCACAUGCUAAAAAUAAAAUAAACAAUAAGAGAUGGAAAAACAACAACCAAGCUUCAAAAAUACUUGAGCCUCUGUACAGGGGAAAACAAAGAUUUGAACAAGUAUUUUCAUGUUGCAGAAUCUACCCCAUGGGAAUAAUCUGCUAGCAGAACAAAGAAUUAUGUAUGAAAGUAUCCAUUAUAGUUAAAAAGACCAAAACCAUUCUGGCUGCUGUGUGAAGGGAAUAAACACUAAUAAGUCUUGCCUGCUUCGGAAUCAAAUGAGAGAAAACUAUGAAAGGGCUUUGUAAGUGGUAAUAUGGGUACACGUUUGAGAGGGACCCAAAAUCUCCCCAUCCUCCAACUCUCCAUCCUCCCCCAAUAAAAUGCUGAUUAUCCCAGGAGUUUAAGGCUUUAAAUCUAUUAAAGGGGAAAUGUCCCAGGGAGGCUCACUCUUUGAGCUAAGCAAGACAAAGGCAGAGCCUCAGCCCCAAAGGGACUAGAAGCAGUGAUUCUCAACCCUGGCUGUACACUAGAGAUACCUGGUAUGGAGCUAGCCUUGAAAAUGGCCCCCAAAGAACCUUACUCCCUUGUGUACCAGCCCUUGUGUAGUCCCUCCUAUACUGAAUAUGACUAUCCUAUGUAACCAAGAGGACAUUGUGGAAAUGAUGGAGUGUGACUUUCAAGGCUGGGCCAUAAAACACACCGUGGCUCUGUCUUUCUGUCUCUUUCUUGGAUUAUUUGCUGUGGAAAAAGCCAGCAGCCAUGUUGUCAGGAUGCUCAAUCAACCUUGUGGAGGGGUCCAUGUGGCAAGUAACUGAGGUCUCCUAACAACAGCCAUAUGAAAGAACCUUGUGGAAAGAGAUCUUCCAGCCUCCAGCUGACAUCUUACCUGCAACCUCAUAGGAUACCCUGAGCCUAAACUACCUAGCUACACCAUUCUCUAGCUUCCUGAUCCACAGAGAUGGUGAGACAACACAUACGUUUUGUUUUAAGUCAUUUUUUUGGAGUAAUUUGCUAUAUAGUAUUAGAUAACCAAUGCUCCUGGGGAGCUUUAAAAAAUCUAUGCACAAGUCAUAUCCCCAGAAAUUCUGAUUCAUUUGGUCUGGGGUGAAGUCUAGGCGUUGGUAUGUUUAAAAGCCCUCAGAUGACUCUAAUGUGCAUCCAGGAUUGAGAACCACUGCAUUAGAGAAUCGAGUGAGUAAGUCAACAAAGCAGGGAUUAGGUAUAGGGUAUUGCCUCAAUUUCCAGGGCUAAAACUUGGUUUACGCUGUGAGUUCUACUCUGGGAUAAGUCUAAAGCCUAGUGUGGAUCAGAGCCCAGGGUCACAGUGGGCUGAUAGUCAGUUGUCUCAGUGUCCACAGUUUCUGUGGAUCCCUAAAUUUCCCUUAGGACACAGGGAAGGAAAUCAAGUGGCCUCAUUGGAGGGAAGAAGAGAGGUCCAGAGCCAGUCAGGUAAAUCCACUUUCCACAGUCCAUAGCUUUGACCCAUGAACCCUCCCUGCAGUCCUCCACCUUUGGAAUGCAGGUGUGCCGGAUGCCCACUUCUCCACUGACGGACAGCCCUCUACCUUCCUCCCACCCACCAUUGUUUUCUGUCCAGACCACGUUCCUGUCUCUGAAUGUUCUCUUUGUAACUUAUGAGCAAUGAUGACAGCUGAUUCUGAAAACCUUUGUCUGUCCUCAAAUUUCCAUGACUAAUGAGACACUGUUCCCAUCUCUGCACAAUAACUCAGGGGGCUCGGCUGUCUCUUUGUACUCCCUCAUGUUAUCAUCCUGAUGAAACCUGCAAUAAAGUAAUUAAAGUGAUUAGAAAGGGAGUCCUAGCAGAUGAAGAUGCUGAGGAGAUGGUCAGAUAUUGUGAGCUCACCCAGGUGAUCUCAGCCCUGUGUGUCAGGGUAAGGUGUCUGGUCUCCUGGAACUCUCUUGUGAAUGGAUGCUAGUACCAACUUGCAUCUGUGGGGUACCAAUGAUUUCAGAAGCAUUUUAGACAUUUUUUUUUUAGCACUUGUAACAUGGUAGGUGUAGAAGAUACAGAAUUUAAUAAAACCCUCUUCUUGUUCUCAAGGAGCUUUUGGCUUAGUAGAGACAAAUAAGAGAUAAGAUAAGACUAUGAUGAAUACUUUCCUUGGGGGCUGAGAGAGCACAGAGGAGAAGUACCUUGUUCAGCCUAGGUAGUUUUUUGUUUUGUUUUGUUUUGUCUUUUUUUGUUUUUUUGAGACAGAGUCUCGCUCUGUCGCCCAGG